rnacentral:lncRNA from 1 species
CAGAGAUCUCGAAGUGGAAAAGGGACAGAUGUAGGCCACUGCUUCACGAAGAGUGACGCCUCAGAGAGCCUCUUGCACCCUAGCCUGGUGCUGCCUUUGCCUGCCUGCCUCUCUCCAGGAGGGAAACCCUUCCACACAGCCAGGACAGGGCACACAUCUCCACCAAUGGCAGUUGCCUGGGCCUGUCUUCUUGGAGGAGCUAGAUUUGGCUUUCUGUGAGAACAGAACAGGUACGGGGAUUUCUUGGCUUGGAGUCUACACUUGCUAUUGCCUGGGUUCUUUAAC